AGAGUUUGAUCCUGGCUCAGAUUGAACGCUGGCGGAAUGCUUUACACAUGCAAGUCGAACGAUGAAGCCUAGCUUGCUAGGCAGAUUAGUGGCGAACGGGUGAGUAAUGUAUCGGAACGUAUCCAAUAAUGGGGGAUAACGAGUCGAAAGAUUCGCUAAUACCGCAUACGCCCUACGGGGGAAAGCAGGGGAUCUUAGGACCUUGCGUUAAUGGAGCGGCCGAUAUCUGAUUAGCUAGUUGGUGAGGUAAAGGCUCACCAAGGCGACGAUCAGUAGCUGGUCUGAGAGGACGACCAGCCACACUGGAACUGAGACACGGUCCAGACUCCUACGGGAGGCAGCAGUGGGGAAUUUUGGACAAUGGGCGAAAGCCUGAUCCAGCCAUUCCGCGUGAGUGAAGAAGGCCUUCGGGUUGUAAAGCUCUUUCGCAAGGGAAGAAAACUUACUUUCUAAUAAAGAGUGAGGUUGACGGUACCUUGAUAAGAAGCACCGGCUAACUACGUGCCAGCAGCCGCGGUAAUACGUA
rnacentral:rRNA from 1 species